GAUGAACGCUGGCGGCGUGCCUAAUACAUGCAAGUCGAGCGAACGGACGAGAAGCUUGCUUCUCUGAUGUUAGCGGCGGACGGGGGAGUAACACGUGGAUAACCUACCUAUAAGACUGGGAUAACUUCGGGAAACCGGAGCUAAUGCCGGAUAAUAUUUUGAACCGCAUGGUUCAAAAGUGAAAGACGGUCUUGCUGUCACUUAUAGAUGGAUCCGCGCUGCAUUAGCUAGUUGGUAAGGUAACGGCUUACCAAGGCAACGAUGCAUAGCCGACCUGAGAGAGUGACGGGCCACAGGGGAGCGGAGACAACGACCAGACCCGUAAGUGAGGCAGCAGCAGGGAACCUGCGGGAAGGGGCGGAAGGGUGACGUAGCAACGCGGCGCGAGUGAUGACGGGCUUCGGAGCGUGAAGCACGGCUACUAGGGAGUAACAAAUUUCUAAGGAACGGGACAAAACCAGACGGUACCUGACGAAUAAGCCACGGCUAACUACGUG
rnacentral:rRNA from 1 species